rnacentral:misc_RNA from 1 species
CUAGGAUAUACAUGCUAUGCAUCUAUGUAUGACCCCACAAGUUUUAGAACUGCACGUAUUAAUAACAAGCUUCUCAUGAGCCGCACAUUGUAUAAGCAGCAGAUGGUUAAGAAACAUAAAUUGCCAGGUAUUGGUCCUUAUCUCUUUAAUUUUUCCAACUUGGAUUGAUGUAUUACAACUUCCUAUCAAAAGGUUACAGCAUUCAAUAUGAACAAAUCUACUAGAUUGCAUCAUAUGAUAAAUUGCACUAAGACCACAAAUCGACAAGUUCCUUUUCAUUACUGAUUUGUCAAAAUCAUUCUGGGUGCAAUGCAUUCAGUUCACCAAGUAUGUCCUUUUGUGUGCUCUUACCAUUUCAAGAUGAACUCAUCUUAUGAUUGCAAUGUGGUGGGCUAAUCCAUAUCACUUGCUAUCCUCAUUUCUUCAGCCAAAAGAAAAAUAUCUGCAUCUACAGUAGAAAACAGAGCCAAGUCUUAGUUCAACAUGGCUACAUUCAUUACAAUGCUCAAUCGUCAAUCAGCUCACAGAAACACCACAACAAAAGGCCAACAAUGAAAGAUUUUUGCAUUUUCAUGACCCGUUAUUCUCAAUUUGCGUGUAUAUGUUACAGUUUAAAAUAGUACAAAAAUGACAUAAAAUAGAGGUUAAAAGAAAUAGUAGCCUGAGUAGUGCUAGACAAGGCAGUUAAUCUAUACAUAUAAAAUAAAGUUUUGUUGAUAAAUUUUUGCUUACAUCAGGUCACAGAAACAACGAUCAAAAGUAUAUUCCAAUCUAUAACCAGGCAAAAAAUUACAUAUAUUUAAGUUCAAUCAAAUCAGGUAAACAACAAAUUUAUGCAAUAAGAAUUUUAUGAAGAUUAACUUGCUCUUAUCUCUCUCUCCAGCUCCUGGGCAUCCACAGUUCACAUAUGCAUCUCUACUUCUGACAUGCAUCUGAAGUUUGGGAAGAAGAACUAGAAUACCACUAAAAUGUAAAACUUCAAAAUUGACAAUUAGACUCAGAACUUGGAGGUUCUAAGUGAGUACCGCAACAUUGUUACAACAUGAUCAACUACAUGAGAGAACCAACAUAAUGGGCUCGAGGAUAUUUUCUUUGUAGUUGUGCCCAUUGCACAUAAAACUGAUCAGCUAUUUUCAACUUGUAGAGAAGCAAACCACUUAAGGAGAGCCUUUUCACUCUUGCUAUACUCUCAACAUAAAAAACAGAUGACCACCUAAUUCCUACCACCUUGAACAAAAAUGCAAUGACACAAAGAGGAACACAAGUCCCAGGACCAUUGCAAAGGAUCUAAGAUUUAUAAAAAUAGAAACAGUCAGUAAAUUUUGAGAACAGAUGGAAGAAAAAAAAUGCAAUAUACAAAUAUUAAUUAUACCACUUGGGGUCUUAUUUUAAUCAUCAACCACAAUGCAUGAGCAAUAGCUAUUAAAGUUGUCCCAAUGGAGGUUAUAUAUGACUGACCAACUUCCCUGCUUCUGUAAAUCUGCAUGAACUUUGCAGAGACCACCUUGCCCCCAUUCAUAUCAACUAAUGAGUCCUCCAAAACACGAGCUUUUUGUAGACUCAUAUUAUCAGUGGCAGCUGCCACAUAAACUCUGGGCAUAAACCUAUCCUUCUGCAAUGCAGAUAAGACAUUAAUCAUCUCUGCAGUGUGUCCCCCUACAACAACAACAAUAAAAAGUUACCACAACACCUAAUUCAUGGGAACUAUUGCCACAAAAAACAACCAAUUAAUUGACAAAUUCAUGAGAAUUACAAUAUCUCAAGUUUUUACCUGAACCCAAAACAAUCAAAGUACUUAGUGGCUUUGGGGAUUUAGGGCGCAAGGGUUUGCUGGUUCGAUAAACCACAUAGAUAACGCGAACAAUUGCAAUAAAAAUGAGGCCAAUGAUGAUGAUGAUGAUAGAAAUGGGGAAGCAAGUUUCAUCUUUGCUACCCAUUAGCUAACGUUUAUAAGUAUGCAAUCUAAAAGAAAUAAGAGUUAAUUAUAAUCAGUAAUUUGAGAAUCAAAACUCUUCCAACCAAAUACUAUGUAAAAAAACAAAAGCAGCCAUUGCUUUUUCGUCUGAAUAAAUCAAUCUUCAAUAGGGGUACUCACAGUUAAGUCAAGGCAAUCUUCCAAGCCAAACUAUAAACUUUUAAAAUCCAAACCUGGUUAACUGGUUUUAACUGAUCCAAAACAAGAGUAAGAACGCUCUCCGGUAUCCAGAACAAUAGAAUCAAUAAUCAGAAUUGCAAGCCAUUAAUUGUCCAAACAUUCAUCAAACCCACAAAAACAUUUCUUGGAGGAUUGCUAGUUUCCAUAUGCAGAAAAGGGAGAGAAAAUAAUUAACAUUAGAUUUAAAAAAUGAAAAAUUGGAGAGAGAUGAAAAAAAAAAGCCCAUCAUCAAUUUAUCAUACAUAAACCACAAAGAAUUUGCAGAAGCACAAUCAAUACUUAAUCAUGGUUUCUUAUACAAUUUGAAUUUGUUAAAGUUCCAUUUAAACAACAAAACUAGUGAAAAGGCUCAAGUCUGAUACCAACGCAAUUGCAAAAUUGAUUACAAAAGCUAGCUCCCAUAUUCAUAAGCCAAAAAAAGAAACCGAUUUCCUUUCUGGGCAAUAUAAAUAAAAAGAAAAAGAAAAAACAGGAAACCACAAACAAAAUAGAGAGAUAGGGAGAAACAGAAGUACUGAUUGUAGCGUUUAGCAGGCGGUAAUAACCAACGGAACAGAUCGUACAAUGGACCGAUGGCGAUGAGUGGUGGCCGGUGGGCAGAAUCGAUAGUUGGGAAAUGGAAACUCGCUUACGACAUGGCACAGAAAGAGGGAGAAAAGACGGCGCCGUAGCGGUUAACAAAAUUAAAAAUAAUCGAACCGGACUGUUUUUAGAAUAAGACCAAAGCCGAAGCAUCUAAUUCGGUUCGGUUUUUCGCAUUAUCGUGAUCAAUCGGUCAUUCCCUUGUUCAUCUUUUCGUCAAUUUCUCCAUGAGCAACUUCCAUCUAUUCCAUUAUUGAACUAAUUUACACUGCUGAGAUGAAUCUCCAUUUUGACUCAGUUCGAUGUGUAUACCACUUUUUAGCCAAUUAUCUCUGCACAUGAUCCAUCUAAUGAUGCUUAGAAUUACUGAGAAAAAAAGGGUCUUAAUUAACGGAACCAAAGUGUCUUACAUCAGUUCGUGGGCGGCUAAGGAUACAUGUAAACAUUUGGAACAUGCAUUAUCUUGCACCAAUCUUCUCAUAUUCCCUUCUCACAUCGCUUGGACAGUGCAGGACAUUGUUGAAUGUCCAAAUUCUGCAAUAUAGUAAGCCUCUGAAUGCUCCAUGGAAAAGAUGUCAACUUUGUGCAAUUGAAAAUAUGCAAAGAUUGAAGAGAAGUGAUGUCUCCCAGCCAAUCAGGCAAUGAUACUAGUUCCGGAUGAUAGGAUAUGCUUAAGGAUUCCAGAGCAGGAACAUACUGCAAGUUCUCAGGCAAGACUUGCAACUUUGGGUGAUCAAUGACAAUGGGUUCUCCAAGACUAUGGCACAGAACUAUCUGACGUCGAAAUUUGCAGCCAAUAGGAUCUACUGAUGCAUCAAUCGCUGUGGGUUGGCCUGAUAAGGUUAAAUAUUGGAGGGAGUUAAGGUGCUUUACUCGAUCAGGUAAAGCUACCAGCUCAGGACAUCCACCAAGAGUCAACGUCACAAGCCCAGUGAGGCACUGCAAUCCCUUUGACAAAGAAUUAAGCUUCGAUAGGUUGUGGACUUGCAAACGUUUAAGAAAGCCCAGGCCCUGCAGCCCUUCCUUUGUAAAGGACUCCAACUCAUGGCAAUCGCCAACAUAUAAAUAUUGUAGAGCACUGAGGUUGGCGACGUCUGUGGGUAACCAUUUAAGCUUAGUGAACUUUUCAAUAUAUAAUGAAUUAAGGGAAGUGAGGUUUGGCAGUAUUCUAUGGGAAAGGCAAAUUACCCCAUCAUUAUCUUCAAUAGAAAGGCAAUUUAGGCUUUUUAGAUUUGAGAUUGAGCUUAGUAACAUCUUACUACAAAACCUCACCUCUAAAUCUGUGAGAGAAGAAAGGCAUGGCUAGGUCAAGUUUGGGCAAUUGGUAAUGGAUAACCAAGUAAGACGUGGAAGUAGUUCUAUUCCUUCCUCUGUGGACAGCCUUUCCAAACUUAGCAAAUCAGUGAAUAGUGAGCCUAUUUAACAAUGGAAAAACUCUUGCCAUACCACCACCAUAGAAAUUAUGGUCAAUAUACAAUACAUGAUCCAUUCCACGUAGUACAAGAUAAUGCAGGGAAGGUAGCUGCCCUAAGGGUGGAAUCUGAAAACUGCUCUUACAUCUUAUGAGACUAAUAGAAACAACAUUAUUCAGAAUUUGAGCCCUCAUCAAAUGUGGGAAAAAGGUACCUUUGCAUUCUUCUACUACUAAAUAUUCAAGGUUUGGAUAAGGUUCAAGGGUUUCCAGUACCUUCUCAACACUUGAGUUUCUAUUUCAGCGUCACGUCCCCAGGACAAAGUUAAUUUGCAGAGGUCCUGUUUUCUGAUCAAACUGGCCGCUUUGGCGUCCAUUGGAUUGCCAACUCUUUCAAGGUGUUCGAUAUGCAGAUCUCCUCCAAGGUUUAAGCCUUCCAAUUCAGCCACUUUACAACCCGAAUUCUUAACCACAACGAAAAAACCUCUUUAAACAAGUCAUUUGCCCUAGUUUAGGUGGCAUUUGAGAUAAUGAAGAACAACCAUCAGGUAAAGAUGUCGAAGAUUUUUCAGGUAGCUCAAGCGCUUAGGCAACCCCUGAAGGGCAAAACAGUUCUCUAAUUUCAGCGUCUGUAAAUUAAAUAAGCAAGCAAAGCAACUAAUUUCAUUUGCUGGAAUGUUAUUUGGACAAAAGCAAGUAAAGAAAGAAGGUUGUACGGGUAAUCUUGAUGCUUCUGUAGAACACUCAGCCAGGAUAUCAUGUACCUUAUAAACUGCAUCUUUAAGCUUCCUUAGCCAAUUCUUGAUUGCGUUGUCUUUUAAUUGUUUCUCCUCAGCAUCUUCAAGAACAGCCUGGAUCGUUGAAAGAAUGCUUGAAAAUUUUUCCAUUUCUUUAUGAAUACUCUAGAUCCUCCAGCACAAUUUGAAGAAAAUCCUCAGCCAUUUUCACUUGCAAAUUUAGAAGAACAGAGGAAAAAGGAUUUUGGUUAUAAUGGCAUUGCUU